rnacentral:rRNA from 1 species
AGUGAACGCUGGCGGUAGGCUUAACACAUGCAAGUCGAACGGCAGCACAGUAAGAGCUUGCUCUUACGGGUGGCGAGUGGCGGACGGGUGAGGAAUACACCGGCAUCUACUUUUUCGUGGGGGAUAACGUAGGGAAACUUACGCUAAUACUGCACACGACCUACGGGUGAAAGCAGGGGAUCUUCGUACCUUGCGCGACUGAAUGAGCCGAUGUCGGAUUAGCUAGUAGGCGGGGUAAAGGCCCACCACGGCGACGCACCGUAGCUGGUCUGAGAGGAUGAUGAGCCACACUGGAUCUGAGACACGGGCGAGACUCCUACGGGAGGCAGCAGUGGGGAGUAUUGGACAAUGGGCGCAAGCCUGAUCCAGCCAGACCGCGUGGGUGAAGAAGGCCCUCCCGUUGUGAAGCCCUUGUGUUUGGAGAGAAAAUCAACAGAUUGGCACCCAGCUGUCCUCACGGUACCCAAGCCAUAAGCACCGCCUCAACUCGUG